rnacentral:rRNA from 1 species
AUGGAGCGUCCGCACCGCCACGUCGACCCCUCCCGCCGGGAUCGGGCAAGCCACAAGGUGCUCAUCUCCACCCUAGCCAUGGAGCACCAGGAGUUCCUGUUCCGCAAGCACGCCGCUCUCCUCUCGGCGGAAUCGCCGCAGCAUGCAGCUAGCCCCCUAUCCAUCGGGUGGGCCAUUGAUGAGCAGUUGCGCAUCCCCCCUCACCUGCUGUGGGUGACGAGCCAUGACCCCGAAGACUUCCUCGUCUACUUCGAGCUACCAGCGCACCACGACAACGCCAUCCGCCGCGGCUCCAUC